UCCGACGCCUCAACAAUUUAGCGAUAUU
rnacentral:sRNA from 1 species